CUUAGUGGCGAACGGGUGAGUAACACGUAGGGAACCUGCCCAUGUACCCGGGAUAACAGAUGGAAACGUCUGCUAAAACCGGAUAGGUAUAGACAAGGCAUCUUGGCUAUAUUAAAGGACCUUCGGGUGUGGACAUGGAUGGACCUGCGGCGUAUUAGCCAGUUGGCGGGGUAACGGCCCACCAAAGCGAUGAUACGUAGCCGGCCUGAGAGGGUAGACGGCCACAUUGGGACUGAGACACGGCCCAAACUCCUACGGAAGGCAGCAG
rnacentral:rRNA from 1 species